AGCACAAAGGGGCCUGAGGGAGUUGAGCGCUCGAGCUGCGCUGGGCGUUGCCAGGGGAAGCGAGUGUCGCCGAGGCCGCUACAGUUGGCCUCUCGCUGGCCCAGCGCAGCCCACGGAUCCCGAGUGGAGAACACGAGCACCGCCGGGCUCGCUGGCGAGCUUCCAGGCGGGGCGCCCCGGCCUCUCAAGGAUGGCCGAGCGAAGGUUACCCGGGCGAGCAGGACCCACGGAAAUUACUGGUAAUAAGACCUCUGUAGCCAUGGCUAGUUCUGAUGUGAAACCAAAAUCAGUAAGUCAUGCCAAAAAGUGGUCAGAAGAGAUAGAAAAUCUGUACAGAUUUCAACACGCAGGAUAUCGAGAUGAAAUUGAAUAUAAACAAGUGAAGCAAGUUUCUAUGGUAGAUCGUUGGCCAGAGACAGGAUAUGUGAAGAAACUUGAGAGACGGGACAAUACUUUCUAUUACUACAACAGACAGAGGGAAUGUGAUGACAAGGAAGUCCACAAAGUGAAAAUUUAUGCUUACUAGCCUUACUUCUUGGUAUUACCUGUCAUUAUCUUUUUAAAAAUCCACUGUUUGAUUCUACAUCAUUACAGUCCCUUGAAAAGGACAGUAGUACAGCACAACAGCUGGUAUCCAGGGGCUGGCAUCGAGUGAGCCGGCAAGAAGAGUUACUGACUGGAGGAGGGAGAGGAGGUGGGCGACGGUAGAGCUGAAGGAUCGUCAGCAACAGGAGACGGAGGGCAAGCGGCAAUUCCACUCACACCUGACACUGAUGGAACGCAUGUUCGCAUCUUGGAAAGUUCGCAACUUGAAGGUCCUGUUUUCCAGAACUACCUGCCCCACGAAGCUCCGUUAGUUUUUCCCAGUUCAAAACUGUGCCUUUGGGACUUCCCUGGUGGCACAGUGGUUAAGAAUCCGCCUGCCAAGGCAGGGGACACGGGUUCGAGCCCUGGUCCAGGAAGAUCCCACAUGCGGCAGAGCAGCUAAGCCUGUGCACCACAACUACUGAGCCUGCACUCUAGAGCCCGUGAGCCACAACUACUGAGCCCGUGUGCCACAACUACUGAGCCUGUGCGCCUAGAGCCCGUGCUCCGCAGCAAGAGAAGCCACCACAAUGAGAAGCCCGCGCACCGCAACAAAGACCCAACACAGCCAAAAAUAAAUAAAUAAAAUAAAUAAAUUUUUUUUAAAACAAAAGGCAAGGCACUGACUGGGAGACUAAGUCUGCAAAACACACACAAAAUAAAGGACUUAUGUCCACAGUAUGUAAUGAAUUCUCAAUAUUAAGACAAGACAACUAAAAUUAGGCAAAAGAUGUGAACACUUAGAAAACAAAACAAAAGUGUGCCUUUUCAGAACAAACACAUCAUGGAAAGGAUAAAUAGACUGGUAAGCCUCUUUUAUGCCUUUCCCAUGCUGCCCAGGGUCAUCUUAUUUAGCACUUGUUUCAAGUCAUUUAUCUGUACGUCUAUGGUCAGGAUUUCUGUCACUGUCUUCCAGGUUUGGCACACCACUAGGUGCUGAGCAUAGGAGGUCUUCUGAACCCGAUAAUGCUUUUUAACAAAAAAAGAAAUGUCCCGUGGUAGAAUAAUUGCCCGCAAAGGCAGCCACGUCCGUAUCCCUGGAACCUGUGGCUGUGGUACCUUAUAUGGCUAAGGAAACACUGCAGAUGCGAUUAAGAACUGGAUAUGCGGACAUUAUCCUGGAAAACCUAGGUGGAUCCCAUGUAAUCACCCGGGUCCUUAAAGAGGGGAGAAGGCAAGUCAGAGUCAGAGAAGAUGUGAUGAAGGAAGCAGAGGCCUGAGACAUGCAAGGAAGGAGCCAAAAGCCAAAGAAUACAUAAAGCCCCAAGAGUCUCCGAAAGGAACACAACCCUGCCAACCCCUUGGUUUUACCAGAUAAGACCCAUUUCAGACUUCUGGCUUCCAGAACUGUA